ACUUGCCUACGGGGGGCAGCAGUGAGGAAUAUUGGUCAAUGGGCGGGAGCCUGAACCAGCCACGCCGCGUGAAGGAAGAAGGCGCCAGGCGUCGUAAACUUCUUUUGUCGGGGAACAAAGGGCGCCACGCGUGGCGUUGUGAGUGUACCCGAAGAAAAAGCAUCGGCUAACUCCGUGCCAGCAGCCGCGGUAAUACGGAGGAUGCGAGCGUUAUCCGGAUUUAUUGGGUUUAAAGGGUGCGUAGGCGGAACAUUAAGUCAGCGGUAAAAUCGAGGGGCUCAACCCCUUUAAGCCGUUGAAACUGG
rnacentral:rRNA from 1 species